GAAAGUAAACAAGGGCGCAUGGAGGAUGCCUAGGCUCUCGGAGGCGAAGAAGGACGUGAUAAGCUGCGAAAAGUUACGGUAAGGCGCAAAUAGCCCUAGACCCGUAAAUAUCCGAAUGGGGCAACCCGGCCAGCAAUGGUCAUACCGCCAAGCGGUAAGCCAACGCGGGGAACUGAAACAUCUAAGUACCCGCAGGAAAAGAAAAUAACAAUGAUUCCGCCAGUAGUGGCGAGCGAACGCGGAACAGCCCAAACCACUCGUGUUACGGCACGAGUGGGGUAGAAGGAUCCACGAUACGGCAAGAAAUAAGUUAGCAGAAUACGAUGGAAAUCGUAGCCAAAGACGGUGACAGCCCAGUACGCGAAAACCGACAGAAGCCCAGUGGACACCUGAGUAACCCAGGACACGAGAAAUCCGGGGCGAAUCAGCGGGGCCCAUCCCGUAAGGCUAAAUACUCCCGAGAGACCGAUAGCGAACCAGUACUGUGAAGGAAAGGUGAAAAGAACCUCGAACAGAGGAGUGAAACAGACCCUGAAACCAUGCGCCUACAAGCGGUCGGAGCUUCUAUAAGGAGUGACGGCGUGCCUUUUGCAUAAUGAACCUACGAGUUACUCUUGCCGGCGAGGCUAAGGGCUUCAGGCCCGGAGCCGAAGCGAAAGCGAGUCUGAACAGGGCGCGAUAGUCGGCAGGAGUAGACGCGAAACCAAGUGAUCUACCCAUGAGCAGGUUGAAGGUUGGGUAACACCAACUGGAGGACCGCACCGGUAAACGUUGAAAAGUUUUCGGAUGACUUGUGGGUAGGGGUGAAAGGCUAAUCAAACUUGGAGAUAGCUCGUACUCCCCGAAAUGCAUUUAGGUGCAGCCUUGACUUAUACUGGCAUGAGGUAGAGCGACUGAUAAGAUGCGAGGGCUUCACCGCCUAUCAAGUCUUGACAAACUCCGAAUGCGUGUCAGUUCUAUGUCAGGAGUGAGGGCAUGGGUGCUAAGGUCCAUGUCCUAAAGGAGAACAAUCCGGACCAACAGCUAAGGUCCCGAAAUGAAUACUAAGUUGAACUAACGAAGUCAGAUUGCUAAGACAGCUAGGAUGUUGGCUUGGAAGCAGCCAUUCAUUUAAAGAGUGCGUAACAGCUCACUAGUCGAGGAGUUUUGCAUGGAUAAUAAUCGGGCAUAAGCCCUUUACCGAAGCUGUGGAUGUCGUAAGACAUGGUAGGGGAGCAUUCCGGCGGCGACGAAGGCCGUCCUCGAGGACGACUGGAGCUUUCGGAAAAGCAAAUGUAGGUAUAAGUAACGAUAAAGGGGGCGUGAAACCCCCUCGCCAUAAGACUAAGGAUUCCUGAUCAACGCUAAUCGGAUCAGGGUAAGUCGGGCCCUAAGGCGCAGCCGAACGGCGUAGCCGAUGGAAGAAACGGUAAAGAUUCCGUUACUGGAUAUAGGAGCGAUGUGGAGACGGAGAAGUGACACACCCGCCUGCCGACGGAAGCGCAGGUUAAAGGAAGUAGGUAAACGCCGGGUAGGCAAAUCCGCCUGGCGUGCCGAAACUGACAGUAUCGAGAGCCCCCGGGCAAUCGAAUAGCGGUGGUAAUCAGGCUCCCAAGAAAAUCCGCUAAGCAUAUUCUAUAUCCACCCGUACCCCAAACGGACACACGUAGUCGGGUAGAAUAUACCAAGGCGCUCGAAAGACUCACGGUUAAGGAACUAGGCAAAUUGACCCUGUAACCUCGGGAAAAAGGGUCCCCAGUAAGAUGGGGCGCAGAGAAUAGGUCCAGGCAACUGUUUAACAAAAACACAGGGCUGUGCGAAAUUUCAAGAUGAAGUAUACAGCCUGACACCUGCCCGGUGCCGGAAGGUUAAGAGGAGAGCUAAUCGCAAGAGAAGGCUUGAAUUGAAGCCCCGGUAAACGGCGGCCGUAACUAUAACGGUCCUAAGGUAGCGAAAUUCCUUGUCGGGU
rnacentral:rRNA from 1 species